GAAUUUGUCGAAAUUGAGUUUUCUCCUCUUCCUUCCACUCUUUUGUGCUUGUUCUGCUUCCGAAGCAGCCAAUUCUCGACUGAAUAGGCCACUUUCGGAAUUAUUUCAAGUGGACCUCUUCCUUCCUCUAUUCAUCAUGCACUCUUCUACUUCUGCCCCCAUUUUCGCUCAAUUGUCAACGAUUUGAUCAUCAGAAAAAUAAUUUUUCGCAA
ensembl:ncRNA F46F3.10 ncRNA